CUGAGUGCUGCGGUACUGGAGCAACCAUGGCACCGAGACCGUGACAGAUUGUCGGCAAACACCCCUCCUUCACGCCGCCCUGAGUCACGGAAAGAAGAGAGCACUAGUUAAACUGAUACUUGAGAAGAGCGUGAAGGGGGGAAAAAGAGCAGAUGAUACUAGAUCAACAGGACUUCGCGAUAAAGAUUCUGUUGCAAAAAAAACACUACAUCAUGAGUGAAAUUAACAGUGAAACAGGAUUCUACAGUGUACAAGUUGGUGAUUCCACCUUCACGGUUCUUAAGCGAUACCAGUCGUUGAAGCCCAUAGGUUCGGGGGCACAAGGGAUUGUUUGUGCUGCAUUUGAUUGUAUACUUGAUGGAAGUGUUGCUGUUAAGAAACUCAGCAGACCUUUUCAGAACCAAACUCAUGCCAAGAGAGCUUACAGGGAGCUUGUUCUUCUAAAAUGUGUAAAUCAUAAAAAUAUUAUUAGUUUAUUGAAUGUAUUUACACCACAGAAGUCUUUAGAAGAAUUCCAAGAUGUUUACUUGGUUAUGGAGUUGAUGGAUGCCAACUUGUGCCAGGUUAUCCAUAUGGAGCUAGACCAUGAGAGAAUGUCCUACCUUCUUUACCAGAUGUUAUGUGGUAUUAAACACCUUCACUCAGCUGGCAUUAUCCACAGAGAUUUGAAACCCAGCAACAUAGUAGUAAAGUCAGACUGCACUCUGAAAAUUCUAGAUUUUGGACUGGCAAGGACUGCCUGUACUAAUUUUAUGAUGACACCAUAUGUAGUGACACGAUAUUAUAGAGCACCUGAAGUUAUCCUAGGAAUGGGAUACAAAGAAAAUGUUGAUAUCUGGUCAGUGGGGUGCAUCAUGGGAGAAAUGCUGAAAGGUUCUGUGCUAUUCCAAGGCACUGAUCAUAUUGACCAGUGGAAUAAAGUCAUUGAACAGCUAGGAACACCAUCUGCAGAGUUCAUGAAGAAAUUGCAGCCAACUGUACGAAAUUAUGUAGAGAAUAGGCCGAAAUAUCCAGGGCUUGGUUUUGAAAUAUUAUUUCCAGAUUGGGUUUUUCCAGCAGAUUCUGAGCGAGACAAGUUAAAAGUAAGUCAGGCCAGAGAUCUUCUCUCAAAGAUGCUAGUGAUUGAUCCUGACAGGAGAAUUUCCGUGGAUGAUGCCUUACAGCAUCCAUAUAUUUCUGUCUGGUAUGAUCCUUCUGAAGUAGAAGCACCCCCUCCACAGAUAUACGACAAACAGUUGGAAGAAAGAGAGCACACUAUAGAGGAAUGGAAAGAAUUGAUUUAUAAAGAAGUUGUGGACUGGGAGGAAAGGAAUAAGAAUGGUGUUAUUAAGGAACAGCCCUUACCUUCAGAUGCAGCAGUGAAUAACAACAACAGCCCCUCUCAGUCUUCCUCCAUCAAUGACAUAUCAUCCAUGUCAACAGAGCAGACCUUGGCUUCCGAUACCGACAGCAGCCUGGAUGCUUCAACAGGACCACUUGAUGGUUGCAGGUGAUCAGCCUCCUGACUUCAAAAAUGAGCAUUAUCAGAAAGAACUCUGGGAUCUGGCAGCAUCAGGAGGCAAAGAGAAGGUCAACAUUUCGGGUGGAAACCCUGCUUCAGAACUGUGUGUAGAGGGGAGAUGGCCACAAUAAAGAGGCUACACAGGUGGAAUACAAGGUGUUCUGGUUGGCAUUUGGCCUUGCCCUGGAGCUGGAGAAGGCCAAGAACAGAGAGCUACCAUCGGGCAGGAGGUACAGAAACCUGAAGUCCCACACCACCAGGUUCAAGAACAGCUACUUCCCUUCAAUUUGGUUCUUGAAACAACCGGAAAAACCCUAAUCACUACAGUUUAGCAACAUUAUGACCAUUCUGAUUACAUUGUACUAAAAUGAACUUUAUUUGUUUUUGUUCUAAUUGUGUUCUUUGUUGUAAAAUUUGUGUAUAAUUUAUGUUUUCCUUGUGCAUACUGCUUAUAUGAUGCCAUGUGCCUGUGAUGCUGCUGCAAGUGUUAUUCAUUUUACCUGUGCAUACACAUACUUGUGCAUAUGACAAUAAACUCAACUUUGACUUGCUAAGUUACAAUAUAGUGAGAUGCCACCACCCGUCCCUCACCACCAACACCACCUUUAGCAUUGCAAAGGGAUGAUUCCCUCCAUUACUUCCUGGUCCACUCCUCUACGUCUGUCAACACCCACUCUCCUUCUCACUUCAGCUUCCCAUGCAAUUGUAAGAGGUGCAACACCUGUCCUUUUCCUCUUCCCUUCCCACCAUCCAUGGACCAAACACUCCUUCCAGGUGAGGCAGCAUUCCGGAAGGGUGACACUGAGCUUCCGGAUACCUAUCAAUUUAACUCUCCAUUCACUCCCACUCUUAUCCCUGUCUUUGGACCAAAGUAAGCUCAAAGACCAGCAUCUCAUCCUCUGACUAGGCAUACUACAGCUCUCAGGACUCAACAAAAGUUCAAAGAUUCAGAUAACCGGCCUUUCCAGUUUAUGUCAGAAUAGGCCAGUUCAGAUUUGUCAUCAACCUGAAAUGUUAUCUGUUUGUCUAUCCACAGGCACUGCGUGAUUUGUCAAGUAUUUUCAGCAUUCUGUGUUUCAAAUUUCCAGUAUCUGUAAUGUUUUAAUUCUCCAAUUUGUAUCUUACAAUUCCACCACUGGGCCUGAUCAUCUGAUCCAAUGGCUUGUCACCAUUCACUGUGAAAAGUUCAAUGUUUGGGAAACAUUGCGGAGCCUACCAACUGUCCAGUGGCUUACCCCACAGUAAACUCUGCGCUAUUUGCUGAUUGUGGGUGUGGAGGGUCACACCACCAGCCCUUGUGCUCACUGAUGACGUAUGGAAAUCUUUUAUGAUGACUUGGGUAUGUCCUAUUUUGGUGAGAGGGAGUGGUCUCAUUCCCACCGACACCCACUGAGAAAAGGCACACCUGACAGAUAUCACCAUCAUUUCCAUGCCAACCAUCCAGGAGGAAAUGGGGCUGAGAUAAACUUUAAAAUCAGUCUUGAAAAAAAAUUAGGACCACAUUCUAUCUAUCUUCAAUUUAAUUGUAUGCCCAUAAUACUUUUGCUUCGUUGACUGGUGUUUUGAGCAAACAAUUAUAUGAGCACAAAUUAUUUAUAAUAUUCAUUGAUUAAUACCAUCCUGCCAGCCCCCAGCCCCAACAUCCAACCCUAAAGCAAGUUCCAGGCUGGCAAAGCUUUCACUCAGCUAUAGGAUCCUGCUGCUCAGCUGUAAAGUUGCACCAAAGGUUCUUGUCAGAGCUGGAUCACUGAAUGGUGGGGGUCACCUGCUGGUUCAAAGGCCCAGAGAGUAUCACUCCCAGUGGCACAGCCAGAGCCCAGCUUACUGAUAAGCAGGAAAGAAUCUAGAUCAGUGAUCAGUCAGCCAGUCUGCUGUUCCUGCCACCUACAUUGCUGUGAGUGUCAUGAUUAAUUGGGAAAUUUAAACUAAAGCCCAAUGUGUCAAUUGUGAUAAAUAACUUAAAAUGAAUUGGCUCUGUUGACCAACAUUACUGCUAAUAUUUAGCUUAUAAAACCAGAAUGGUCACAAAACAAACUUAUUUCCACAGGACAAUGAAGUUAUCAAGAUUUAUGACUGAUAGGGUCAUAAACAUACAAGUGUUAUAUUUAAAUAGAUAUCUGCUACCAGAAGUGGGUGGGGGUGGAGGCAAAAUAAAUUGUGCAGUAUAUGUAAAGCCAAGAUAAGAAGUGGUGACCAACUAUGCACAGCUGCAACAGCUUGCUUUUAAAUUGUACUUUUCAGAUAGAAAAUCUUGCAAACUGUGUCAGAGAAGGGAAAGGAUAUGAGCAGAUAGAAACUGUAGUGAAAGGUGGCUAUAAAUGGAAUGGAAAAAAUUAGUUUUGAAACAACUUGUAUUAACAGGAAGAGAAGCAGCAAGACAAAAGAGUUUGGGCAGGUUUUCUAAAGAAUAGAACUGAAAAGGCUGUGGACACCUUCUGGAUCUUCACCGUUGUCAGAAAAAGAUGGAACUUUGCAGCCCCUGAGGACCCGUGUGCCUGAAUUCCACCUUGGUGUGGAGGAAGUUCCAUCAGAUGAUUAGUGUCCCUAAUUACUUCUGGAGUGCUUGUUGGAGCAAAAUAUCAGUGGCUUCAAAGUCAAAUGUGUUACCAAGGGAUCAUUACAGUGAGACCUCACUUUAACAAUUAAACUGUGCUGUGACCCACCAUACAAGCUCCCCUCUCUUCAUGGAUUGUGAACCAAAUGAGCUGUCUAUAAAGGUGAGUUACCAAUUUCAGAUCAAUAGCUUGUCUAGUUGCAGAUAAGCUAAGAAUUUACAGCACAGUCAUAAUAUAUUCCUUUAUACAACAUGGUAUCGGAAAACAAUAAAGAUCCAUUUAUUAUUUUUCCAAAAAUGUGUCUUAAGACAGAAGAGCACUUAAGCAAUCUUAACUCUGACGUUAUUGCAGAUUUAGAUUGGGAGAGCUAGUAGGCACAAGAGAGACCGCAGAUGCUGGAAAUCUGGAGCAACACACAAAAUGCUUGUGGAACUCAGCAGGUCAGGCAACAUCUAUAGAGGGGAAUGAGUAGUUGACGUUCUGGGGCCUCACCUGGAUUCACCUAUCAUCCACCAGCUCGUGAUCCUCCCCUUCCCCCCACCCUUUUAUUGUGGCUUCUGCCCUCUUUCUUUCCUGUCCUAAUGAAGAGUCUCGGCCUGACACGUUGACUGUUUAUUUUCCUCCAUAGAUGCUGCCUGACCUGCUGAGUCCCUCCAGCAUUUUGUGUGUUAGGAGAGCUAUUAGUUAGGUACUGAAUUGUACUAUUUCCUAUUGAGGUCCAGAGGAAGAAUUCUGCUGAAAUUGUGUUAAAUAUGACAUCAACUUAUAGAAACAUUUUUAUUUCUGAUGAUUUAAAUGACUGAGCUUUUGAUAGAUAGUAACAGAAGAGAUAUUUGCUCUGCUGGCAGUACAAAUAUGACAUUAAGAAGCAAUUUUUUGCACAAAUCUGGAAAUCUCUCUCCAAGGUACCAUGAAUGCAGGGUCAAUUGAAAUUUCCAGGACCAAGUUAAAGGUGUCAAGCUUAACUUUGGUCUUUCCUGAGAGCUCUUGUUUGGAUCAACAGUCUAGAAUUCUGCAACUUGAAGCGCCUUGAUCCGAAAUGCUGACUAUCAGGGAUCAUUACAGUGAGACCUUUUUACUUUCCUCUACAGAUGCUACAUGACCUAAUUUCCUCCAGCAGCUCAUUUCUCGUUCCAGCUUCCAGCAUCUACAGUCUCUUAUGUCUCCACUUUACCACUAGGCUUCUGUAGAUCAGGGAUUCUAUAAAUCAAUGUGACUGUACACCUUUGCACAUAUGAAGAAGAAGAUAUGAAGAAGUACCAUUUCCCCAUAAGUUCACAGAGUCCAAAUAUUGUUGGGAAACAAGCUCAGAUCAUAUAGAAUUCAUUGCAUAUGAAGGGUUUUUGACCUGAAAUAUUAUCUCUUUCCACGAAUACAGUAUGACCUGCAGAGUGCUUCUCGUGUUUUGUUUUUAUUUCAGAAUUAAUUGCUGUUGGCCAGGUAACUUUAUAGAGUCAAAUAUGCUUGCCAGUUAUCAAGUUCAGCAUUUUAAGAUUAUUUUGUAUCAAUAUCCAAGUGUGAUAUUUGAAACAUGAUGCUGGUGUGUGCUGAGGUACCAUCAGGUAAAAUGUAAAUCCCUGCUCAA